rnacentral:rRNA from 1 species
GCCAGCAGCUAUAUCACCCUGCAGCUCCCAGCUGGCAGCCCCAGUAAAGCUCAGCAGGUGUGAACCUGGCCAGUACCUGGAUGGGAGACUCCUGGGAAAGCUAAGGCUGCUGCUGGAG